UCGUACCUCAUCCCAUCAUCUUUUGAGGCUGGAUUCAAAGGACUUGGAAUCAUUCCUGCUUCCAAAGCCAACUAUGAGGUUGAGGAGGGUCAAGAAUAUGUUCCAGGACUUCACCCAGACUGGCACCGUAAAUGGUGGGGAGU
ensembl:miRNA